rnacentral:rRNA from 1 species
GUAGGCGGCUUUGUCACGUCGGAUUGUGAAAGCCCGGGGCUUAACCCCCGGGUCUGCAUUUCGAUACGGGCUAGCUAGAGUGUGGUAGGGGGAGAUCGGAAUUCCUGGUGUAGCGGUGAAAUGCGCAGAUAUCAGGAGGAACACCGGUGGCGAAGGCGGAUCUCUGGGCCAUUACUGACGCUGAGGAGCGAAAGCGUGGGGAGCGAACAGGAUUAGAUACCCUGGUAGUCCACGCCGUAAACGUUGGGAACUAGGUGUUGGCGACAUUCCACGUCGUCGGUGCCGCAGCUAACGCAUUAAGUUCCCCCGCCUGGGGNAGUACGGCCGCAAGGCUAAAACUCAAAGGAAUUUGACGGGGGCCCGCACAAGCCAGCGGAACANUGUGGCUUAAUUCGACGCAACGCGAAAAAACCUUUACCAAGGCUUUGACAUAUACCGGAAAGCUUCCAAAAAUGGUGCCCCCCUUUGUGGGUCGGUAUACAGGGUGGGGCAUGGCUGUUGUUCAGCUCCGUGUCCGGGAGAUGUUGGGUUUAAAUUCCCCGCAACGAGGGCAACCCUUGUUUNUUGUGUUGCCAGCAUGCCCCUUUCCGGGGUUGAUGGGGACUCCCAAGGAAAUGGCCGGGUUCAACUCGGAGGAAGGUGGGAAAAACUUCAAGU